GAACGCAUAUUGCACUCUCUGGUAUUCCGAGGAGUAUGCCUGUUUCAGUAUCAGUAAACACCAUCAAACAACUCCUUGGAGGGGUUUGGAUUUGAGUGUUGCCGAGAAAACUCACCUUUUUUCGGCCCGCUCGAAAUGCAAGUACACAGGACAGGAUCCUAGACCCCCGAGGUGGGAAAAAAAAGCGUAGUAGUUGACUUGACUGUCUUCUUUCGCUGAAAAAGAACACCCGGUUUCUGGGACCUUGCUGUGCAAAUUCGCAGGAAGAAAAGUCAUAUUCUUUUCACUUCUUGAUCUGAAAUCAGGUAGGACUACCCGCUGAACUUAA
rnacentral:misc_RNA from 1 species